ensembl:lncRNA
CCCUGAUGCCGAUUCAGAUUCAUUUUCUGAUGUGUAGAACUAUGUGACACUGGCUAUGUGACAAACUACUGAAUAGAGAGAAACCCAAAAGAGUCCUUGCAAAUAUGUUGACACUGGUUUACAUAAGUAUAAACACCAUGUUACGAAGUUUUCCUUUCAACUGUUUAAGAGGUUGAGCAUUCCAAAUCUUUGGUUCCAUUUCCACUGAAUAAAAGCGAGCCGUUACUGUGCCAAGUCCAUUUGGAUCAAAUCAUCUGAAAAAGUAACGAUGCGAAAAGUAACACUUAAAGAUCUAUUAUCUGAAACCAAGCGAAUUUAAAUAGCAUCUCGCUUGCACCUUUGUUGAAAAAGAGAAAUUGUACAAGUUUUAAAUACGUGAUCAGAAGUAGUACUUACGAUGUGACAGUCCAUGAUUCCACACCUGACAGGUAAGCGCGUUAGGGUAUCGGCACUGAUAGAGCUUAUUGUCCGCUAUCGUAAGGAAAACGUCAUCCGCGAUACUGUUUUCACUGCAUAUGAAUCUCCCUCUCUUGCAAACUAGCGCAACUGAAACGAGGGUGAGAAGGAGAGAGUGAGUGAAUGUGUGUGUGUGUGUGUGUGAGAGAGAGAGAGAGAGAGAGAGAGAAGGGCGAGGUGACCUGAUUGUGUUUGAUGAUAAACAACAUGGAUGUUUUACAUCUUAACUAAUCAUUGCGAUUGCCCAGCUCAACUCGAGCCAUCAACUACACACUACAUCGGAUAGUAACGUUUGAUUGAAAGUGAUGAUAAGAUGUCUACGGGUCUUGCCUUGGUGUGCGAAAUCUGACAGGGAGUGACUUGACCUGUUUAUUAUUUGUUGACAAGUCUUUACUGCCAUAAACGCGGGCUAAAUCAUUAGCCAACAUCAAUCAAAUAAUGAAAGAAAACCUCUGACAGCAGAUAAUGACCAACAAACACGAAAUAAAACUAUUCGUUGAACAAUACAAGACCAAUAACUAAAAUCAGCUCCCACUCAAACAAACGCCAAAAAAGAAUACUAACACAAUAUGACAAAGUGAAACAGCUCUGAUAAUGCUAGAGUUAUUAUUACAAUAAAUCAAACAUCAGAUGCUCCGGGAGCACCGUUCACCCGUCAGACGGGCAGAGACAGCGCUGCUCUGCCGCACCGCCUCCACGCGGAGUUUACGGGCAGACAGCGCGCGCAGGGACCCGCUCCCGCGCAAAUCAAUCUGGUUAGCGCCCGAAUGCCUUCUCUCGUUCCAGCCCAUGGCACUGAUUCACUCACACAUCACAGCACAUCACUUCUUAAGAACAACAACUGGAUAUUGAGCUCAUCACACCUGAUGGAGAGCUGUAAUAUUCUGCUUUGCGUCAGUGCUGACUGUAUAUUCUCUACAAAUGAACGGAACUGACUGGUAUUAUUUCUUCCUAUGUGGUGUUUAAAUAUGAAUUGAACAUUCGUAGCUCACAGCAUGUGUGUCUCAGCUGCUCAUGACAGGCAGGCUGCUACUUGAGGCUUUUUUCAUUCCGCGGGAUCUUAAAGCUGAGGUGACUUUGCAGAACAACCAGAGAUUGAUGAAGGCUGUGACUACAGUACCUCAGAAUAGCAGCAAAUUCCCCUCAUUCUCCCGGUGGAUAAAGUCAUUGGACAAGACAUUUGAUAUGGGUCACAUUGUAAUGCCCUACAUUCAAGGAGAGAAGCGAGAAACAUCUAGAGAUAGAGAGGAGAGUGGUUGGGAGGUGUU